GACGAACGCUGGCGGCGUGCUUAACACAUGCAAGUCGAACGGAAAGGCCCUGCUUUUGUGGGGUGCUCGAGUGGCGAACGGGUGAGUAACACGUGAGUAACCUGCCCUUGACUUUGGGAUAACUUCAGGAAACUGGGGCUAAUACCGGAUAGGAGCUCCUGCUGCAUGGUGGGGGUUGGAAAGUUUCGGCGGUUGGGGAUGGACUGGCGGCUUAUCAGCUUGUUGGUGGGGUAGUGGCUUACCAAGGCUUUGACGGGUAGCCGGCCUGAGAGCGUGACCGGCGACAUUGGGCCUGCGAUACGGCCCAGACUCCUACGGGAGGCAGUAGUGGGGAAUAUUGCACAAUGGGCGGAAGCCUGAUGCAGCAACGCCGCGUGCGGGAUGACGGCCUUCGGGUUGUAAACCGCUUUCGCCUGUGACGAAGCGUGAGUGACGGUAAUGGGUAAAGAAGCACCGGCUAACUACGUG
rnacentral:rRNA from 1 species